CCUACGGGCGGCAGCAGUGAGGAAUAUUGGUCAAUGGGCGAGAGCCUGAACCAGCCAAGUCGCGUGAGGGAGUACUGCCCUAUGGGUUGUAAACCUCUUUUGUCGGGGAGCAAAAGCCGGACGUGUCCGGCUGUGAGAGUACCCGAAGAAAAAGCAUCGGCUAACUCCGUGCCAGCAGCCGCGGUAAUACGGAGGAUGCGAGCGUUAUCCGGCUUUAUUGGGUUUAAAGGGUGCGCAGGCGGAUUUUUAAGUCAGCGGUGAAACGGUGGGGCUGAACCCCAUCCAGCCGGUGAAACUGGGGAUGUAGAGUGUGCGAGAGGUAGGCGGGAGGCGUGGUGGAGCGGUGAGAUGCGGAGAU
rnacentral:rRNA from 1 species